AAGUCGUAACAAGGUUUCCGUAGGUGAACCUGCGGAAGGAUCAUUACAGUAUAAACCUGAUGGAUUGCUGCUGGCUUUCUUGGAAGCAAUGUGCACAUCUGUCAUCUUUAUAUUUCCACCUGUGCACCCUAUGUAGACUUGGAUGUUUUUUUCCACAAGCACCCAUAUAUAUGUUCAAUAUUUUUAAACUCCAAAGUAUAUAUCAGAAGGAAACUCUGGCUUUUACAGCCAAUAAAACAUAUACAACUUUCAGCAACGGAUCUCUUGGCUCUC
rnacentral:misc_RNA from 1 species